GAGGGUACAGUUCAGUGGUAGAGCUCAUGCUUAGCAUGCACAAGGUCCUGGGUUCAAUCCCCAGUACCUCCA
rnacentral:tRNA from 1 species